GGUCCAGAGGGGAGCUCGA
rnacentral:miRNA from 1 species